ACCACAGCCCACGCUCUAGGGAUCACUUCUUUGUCACAGACAUUUAAGUACUGUCCUCGCAUGGCAGGGCUAAAUCUACCAGCAUGCAGAAAUGAAAGCUCUGACACUCAGCUUUCAACAAACCAGAGGUGAGCAGAAGACAGAUGAGCAUCCGACACAGCAGGGAAGUUGCUAUUGCAAUAGAGGAGUGCAAGCAAACAUGCAAUUGACUUCUCCCUUCCCAGCCAAAAUGACUUCUGCUGCCUGGAAUCCAGUUCUGCCUCUCCUAAAUGAAUCCUCUUACAUUCAUUUCCGGCUCUUCUGCAACGGAUCAGUCCUCAUCCAGCGAGAACCAAGACUCUUUCACAAGUCUCUGACUGCUUUUCAGUCCAUUCUUCAUGCAUUGCCAGAAGGAUUUUUCAAACUCCAAGCUUCCCCUCCCUUCCUUAAAGGCAGUCAGGCAUCCACCAUUAUCUUCUGUGUGAAGUCCUAAUGCCAUAUGCCUCUCCCAAGGGCCAUUGGUAGGGAAAAGCCCCUGGCCAUGUAUGCAUCUUGACUUGCCAGUUUCAGAAGCAUAUCCAACUAACGGCCCACACUGGACCUUUAAGUUCCAAAACCUGGAUGACAGAGCUGAAGUGGCCUUGAAGUCGGCAAGCCUAAUCCCUCUUGGUGCUGAAAAGCAUCGCUGUGCUUGCUUCUAGUUUGUGGGAGGUUAUGAGGAGCAAAUAAGAACAUGUUUAGCAAAUCCUAUAAAGUCCAUCCCAGCAUACAAAGGAGGGGUGAGAUUACCACUGUACCUGUUGUAAAGCUCAUGGCUAGAAGGCUCCAGAUGCCCAGCUCACCAAAAUCCACCAAGCAGAGCACUGGGAGUCCUCAGGAGCUGUCCUAUACGUGCUCCCCAGCACCAGAAUCAGCACCCAUUGCUCCUUCCAGUGCCAUUCACCACCACCACCAAGGAGCAUUUGGAGGCUGUGACAAAAUAUGGAGAUGGCUCCUUCCCUACAUGGGGGAUGAGAGCCCCAGAAUGCUGAUUUAGGGCUCUGUCUUCCUUGGUGCCCUAUCCCCUCCUAAAAUCCUGGUCAGUCUCCAAGACAUUAUCAAGGAGAGAGGCUCGUUGGGGGAGUGAGCAAAAGAUGGCCCUCUCUCCUGUUGCAUCAGUUUCCCCUCAAAGGUCUUUCCUUCUUUCCACUUCCAAGAUGCUUAGCAUAGUAUCUGAGAUGGGCCUACAGUGAUGACCCCAGGCUGGAAGUGGAGCACACAGAAUCCUUGAGGUUGUAAUUUUCCUGUGAUCAGACCAGGUCCUCAGUAAAAUUUGUUACAUGUAUAUGGCCCUGAAAUAGCUGUUUGAGGGAAGUCCAGACUGUGGCUUCUCUGUGGAAAUUCUAGAGAAAUUAUUAGGACAAGACCAGAGGUGGUUGGCCAGCAAAACAACCAAACCUGACAGGAGAGGGCCUGAGGAUGUGAAAUGCAAAGUGUUCAUCAUUCAUGGGGACUUGCAGAGACACCCAGGAGAGAGGCAGAAUUCCUGAGCCAUUAAGACAGGGAAACCAGAUGGUUGGACUGCACAGAUGGUGGCCACAUGCAUGUAUCUAGAAGCCAAGAAGGAGCAGGAGAACUAAAUGCUUGGGUGGAGUUCAGGCCAUAUUUGGAAGACUACAAACAGGAUCCCAAACAAAAGACAAAGACUCUCUUAAGAACUUCCCUUUGCUCAGUUGUGACAAAGCCAGGACAAUCAUGUUCCUGAAAUAUCUGCCACCAAGGCCACGUGUCCGCUCUCCGACUCCUUCUUGGCUGCUCUGAUCUGCCAGCAGCAGCACAGGAAGGAAGGGUCCCUUGCAGCAGGGUCCCUUGGAGGCCCUGGCAGGGCUUCCUGAUGCAAGGCUAAGGGCGAUGUUCAAGGCAGGGUGGAAGAGCUCAGCUCAAUCAAAGCCAGACAAAGGCCUGUUGGAACACGGAUGGGGCUGUGUGAAAUGACUUUAGUCAAUUCACUUAUUCAAUGCCAUUGUCAGUUAUACUUCAUGGGGUAGGUGCUUGAAAUGUUUCUUAUGCUCUUGGGCCUUAUAGUCUACCAGGUGAUAACAAAGCUAGUAUAGAAAAUACAGUGUAAGAUGAAGAUCGGGAACACUGGAAGAGGGCCAGUUGCACCUUCAAUAGAACAGAAUAGAGUAAUAUUUGGGUAAAUGAAAGCCAUGAGGAAGACCAUUUUUGCCAAAAUCCCUGAAGGGAGCACGUGAUGAUGUGUUCUGAUGACAGCAAAGAGGCCAGCGUGUCUGAGGCGCAGAGGAGCACUGGAAAAAGUAACUGAUGCACUGAAGAAGUCAUGAAACCAAGUCACGUGAACAUCAAAAGCCAUUGCAGAAUGUGUAAUCUACUAACAGUCAGAAUAAAACUGUGGUGAGCACCA